ACCUCUUAAGAGAGGAGACUCCCCUCCAGAGCACACGUCACACACACGCCCCAUCCCCACCCGUGCGCUGGGUUCCUCUGUCCAACAUGGCGGAAGUUCUGAGUCUCUUACCUCCAACAACUUCCUCUCAUCCAUAAAAAUGUCCUGGGUCAGUGAGAUGGCACGGAGGGUGACCUGAAGGACAGCACCUCCCAGGAGCGUAGGAUGGGUCCCAAACUCCCAAGAUUCCCUGAAGAUGCCAGCAUUCAGAGACUUGAAGAAGAAGGUAAAGUGCUUGGUCUUCCCGGGCAGAAUCACACCUGGGAGAGACAGAGGCAGAAGCUGUUGUGAAGCAGGAGGUGGCUGGCCUACCAGUCACCAUUAUGGCCCACAUCUGGCAACCAGUGCCCUGGCUUCUUGGGACCCUAAGGUUUCCAGGUCUUGGAAAGAAUCUUGCUGGGGCCGCCGUCGCCAGUCGUACCAAAUGGCCACGGUGCCGUUAUUGACCACAGUCAGUUCUGAAGAUGUUUUCUCCCCUUCAAGGGUUUCAAAUGUCAGGCGGACACCAAUUCCAACGUUUCUCUGUGGGAGGAAGAGGGUCUAAGGAGUGCCUUGGCUAGAGAUCUUGCCCUGGGGUGACCAACUCACUCCUGUCUCCUAUGACUUCUCUGAAAGUCCACUGUUCACUCUGGUCCUCUGGGCUUAGUCACCUUGAGUGGUGUCAGACUCUCCUGAUAAUUGUCUCUGAGGUUACCAUCAAUACUAAGAAGAGAAAUAUUUUACACCUGGUAUUUGUUUCUGCUCCUUAGCACCUGAAGAAUGUUCUAGAACUGGUAUUGGAGCAAUGACUCAGAGGUUAAUUUUCAAGGCCAAAGACUGGAUGGAGAUCUGAUCUCCAGAAGCCAGUUGAGUGUGACAGCCUGCCUGUAGCCCCUGCACACAGGAGGUGGAGACAGCAUCCCUGGAGCAAGCUGGCUAACUAGACUUGCCUAAACUUUAGCUCUAGGGUCAGUAAAAGACCCUACUCAGGUGGAAAGUGAAAGAGGAAGUCACCCUACUCAACCUUAGCCCUACAUAUACAUGUUCACAGGAGUGUGUGCGCACUGGUACCCACACAUGUGCUCACACAUAUUUGGACAUGCCCACAUAUAACUGUACCCGUACAUAUUACAUACAUAUACAUGGUUUUUCAGA